UGUAGCAAUACAGCAGCGGCAGACGGGAUAGUACACGUGGGAACGCGCCCUUCGGUUCGGAAUAACUCAGGAAACUUGAGCUAAUACCGGAUACGCCCUUACGGGGAAAGAUUUAUUGCCGAAGGAACGGCCCGCGUCCGAUUAGCUAGUUGGUGAGGUAAUGGCUCACCAAGGCGACGAUCGGUAGCUGGAUCUGAGAGGAUGACCAGCAUCACUGGGACUGAGACACGGACCAGACUCCUAACGGGAGGCAGCAGUGGGGAAUAUUGGACAAUGGGCGCAGCCUGAUCCAGCCAUGCCGCGUGGAUGAUGAAGGCCCUAGAGGUUGUAAAGUCCUUUUAACGGGGAAGAUAAUGACGGUACCCGUAGAAUAAGCCCCGGCUAACUUCAGAUAACCAGACAGCCAGACGAGUAAUAACGGAAGGGGGCUAGCGUUGCUCGGCAAAUUACUGGGACGUAAAGACGGCACGAUAGAGACGGGGAUUCUUACACGAUACGGUGGUGACCAUACCUGGAGCUCAAUCACAGAACUGGCCUUUACAGAUACUAGGGAAUCUUUGAGUCACGGAAAGAAGGUGAGCGGAACUGGAGAGUGUAAGAGGUGAACAUUCGUUAGGAUAUUC
rnacentral:rRNA from 1 species